CCUACGGGAGGCUGCAGUGGGGAAUAUUGGACAAUGGGCGAAAGCCUGAUCCAGCCAUGCCGCGUGUGUGAAGAAGGCCUUCGGGUUGUAAAGCACUUUCAGUGGGGAAGAAAGCCUUGGGGCUAAUACCCUCGAGGAAGGACAUCACCCACAGAAGAAGCACCGGCUAACUCCGUGCCAGCAGCCGCGGUAAUACGGAGGGUGCGAGCGUUAAUCGGAAUUACUGGGCGUAAAGCGCGCGUAGGCGGUCUGAUAAGCCGGUUGUGAAAGCCCUGGGCUCAACCUGGGAACGGCAUCCGGAACUGUCAGGCUAGAGUGCAGGAGAGGAAGGUAGAAUUCCCGGUGUAGCGGUGAAAUGCGUAGAGAUCGGGAGGAAUACCAGUGGCGAAGGCGGCCUUCUGGACUGACACUGACGCUGAGGUGCGAAAGCGUGGGUAGCAAACAGGAUUAGAUACCCCAGUAGUC
rnacentral:rRNA from 1 species